AAAAUAAUUUUAAGUCUAAUCUGCUCAAUGAAUAAUUUUAAAUAGCUGCAGUAUAAAUAACUGUACAAAGGUAGCAUAAUAAUUUGUUUUUUAAUUGAAAACUAGAAUGAAUGAUUAAAUGAAAUAUAAACUAUAUCAAAUUUAAAAAAUAAAUUUAUUAUUUAAAUAAAAAAAUUUAAAUAAAUUUUAAAGACGAGAAGACCCUAAAGAAUUUUAAUAAUAAAUUAUAAUAUAAAUUUAAAAUUUAUUAUAUUAAUUGGGGAAAUUUUAAAAUUUAAAAAAUUUUUAAUUAAAUAAACAUAAAUUUUUGAAUAUUUAAAAUUUUUUAAAAAAUUAAAUUAAAUUACCUUAGGGAUAACAGCAUAAUUUUUUUAAAAAGUUCAAAUUUAUAAAAAAGUUUAUGACCUCGAUGUUGAAUUAAGAUUAAAUUUAAUAGAAAAAUAUUAAAAAUUUAAGUCUGUUCGACUUUUAAAAUCUUACAUGAU
rnacentral:rRNA from 1 species